GCCUGUUCUUCACGUGCUGCGACGGUGACCAAUCAGGUCCACGCAUGCGGGAAGACCCCGCCCGCGCGGCAACUCGUGUCGCGCGCCUCAUCAUCAUCAGUGUUGUAUUGGCGGUGAGGAGUCGACAAAAGUUGUAACCGUCCUGAACUCACACGACAGGCUUCACAACAGCGCGGGGUUUUGUAGUAGUGAGUUAAAGCAAAGUGCGUUUGUCGUGUGUGGCUUCACGGCUUUGAAGACGCUGUCGUGUUCACCAGGUACCGCCGUGGAGAAAUUGCUGCCGGGCACUCCGUGGGGUUUAAAGUUCAGCUAACAGUAGCGUCACUAGCAGCGAGUUAGCCCCGUGUCUUCACAUUAGUUUUGUCACAAUGGCAGCUGUGUGCCAGCCACGACGAGCCCUGGUGGAAAUACCUCCUCCGCAGCCCAAAAUCGCAGCUCGAAUGAGGAGGUCCUAUCUAGAAAUUUUAAGCGCUCGUUUGGCUCCAUCUCCAUUUCCAAGAGGGAGAAAAGCAACCACACACACCAAGCGUGUGCACUCAUUGGACUUGUCCAUUGGUGGGGUGUGGAGUGGGAGGAUAGAGGAACAGUGUGAUAAGAUGGACGAACCCCAUACCCCUCUCUCCAAACAGCAGCUUGUGCAGCUAAUCCGAUCCCUCAUCUUAGUCGAGCAGAGCCAAGAACCGAGGAUCCUGGCAUCCGACCUGAAGUCUCUCCAGGAAGACCUGCAGUUGAAGAAAGCAAAUGUUUACCGGUCGAUACCAUAUUCACGGCUCGGCUCCAACAGGGAUGCUCACUGCUAUAGAAAGGCAUAUCCUCACCUGGUGGCGUUCAAAGUUUCGUGUCAGGAGUGGGGCCAAGUUCUUCUGAGGAACAAAGAGUGGGACGCUGUGUUGGAGCACACACUGAUGGCGUGGCGCUACACCAGCGAGUUGCCGCAGUGGGAUACGGCGAGCCAUAACGCUCUCCGGGAACAGUGUUACAGCAUCUUGGCAGCUCAGAGCCUCACUGCUCUGCAGCACUUACACCCCGGGCCCAACAGAGGACGCGAGCUGCUCAGAAGGUCAGUUGGAUACUAAGAUUUGCUGAAGGCUUCCCACAAUCCUCUGAACAGCCUGAUCCUUAAGCAGCAAAGGUCAUCUCAGGUUCCUGGGGAAACCAGGCGACAGCAAACCUUGAUUUAUGCAAAUGAUUACCUUUUUUAAAUCUGUUAAGCAUUUAUGAGCCAUACAGGCUUAAUCUGCGAUAUGCUUCAUGUACUAUCGCCUCCCACGUUGGAUUUGCUAACGUGCUGGCAGCCAAUUUCCGACUUAAAUAUCCAGCUGAAGCAGUGCAGCAUGGGCAUCCUACUGGAGUCCUGUUUGUCACCUGUUGAAUGUUGAAAAUGGCUCAGUUGCACAGCCAGUCGAUUGUGCCCUGCAUUCAGGAGCUGCAGAGGAUUAUGGGAUGUGCUGAUGACUCCUCCAUGGACACAAAAUAACAGGAGAAACACUAUCUGACCAGCUGGCUGCACCCUGGUGAACAGUGUGCUUCAUUGAUGGCCUUAAUAAUUUCUACGUGGUACAGGGCCGGAAUCCUUGUGCAUGGUGGUGCUUGUUUGGAGAAACCACUACAGUAUUCUUCCAAAGGUCAGGGUAGCAAUGGAAAACGUGCCACAUAGCACAGGUUUGUAAAGGUGAUGACAGCAAAAUGCAAUAAAACCUCUUAUUUAAUCACAUUGCAUUUUUAUAUGAACUGGAAAGUGUUGUUAGUAGUGGAACAUUUGUUGCACGGCACACCUCAUGAUGUAUUUAUUGUUGGUUGGUGUAAGGGUAUGCUGAUAUUUUAUCUAACAGCCUAUUCCAAAAAAUGUAUUGCCUUUGGAGGAACAUUGAUGCGAGUGAUGUCAUUAAAAUAUUUGUAUUUUUUUAGAACUUUGUACAGAAUAACUUGCAUUGAGCAGUGUGAAAUGGCCUUUGGUGUUGCUGUAUAAGUGUGUGUGUGUCCUUGUUAGCGUUUAUGAUACUUGAAACUGUGGCCUUAGCCGUCUCUGAAUAUAGUUGUGUUUAUGUGUGUCUUGUUUAUAGGGUAUUGUCCGUGUCACUGAUUGCACUGUUGCCGUCUGUCCUGAAAACUUGAAAAUUUUUGAUAAAAUAGUCGCUUAUUUCAAUAA